rnacentral:tRNA from 1 species
UCCCCCGUGGUGUAGCGGGAGCACGCCCGCCUUUGGAGCGGACAGCCCUGGUUCGAUCCCAGGCGGGGGAGCCA